rnacentral:lncRNA from 1 species
GCUGGAUAGAAGCUUAUUCUAUCCUCCUCCAGGCAGUGUCAGACUGACUCAUAUUCUGGGGGAAAAAAACUGCAGUGCAACAUUUAUGUUGCCAUAUUGAUGAAAAUUUAGCAUCUUUAAUCAACUCAGCACAUUUGCAGUUGGAACCCAGCUCCUCACUCACCAAGAGUCAAAUCUUCAAAUUCGGAAUAAUCCGAAAUCCUUUGUUCUCUACUCUUCAUCACCAUGGAAAUAAGUGUAAUGUGAUAACUAUUGGAGUGAAUAAAAAGAAAAGACGCUGAUUAGAAAGGAAGAAAGCUCCCAGCUGGAAUCUCAGUAAUCAACAAUGUGUAUAAUCAUUCACUUCAUCUUCCAUAGAGUUUUCUCUGGAACGUAUGUCUUUCAGUUCUAAUAAAAUUACAUAAGUAAUCCUUCUAAAUAUAUCCUGUAAACACAUUAAGUCACUUCCAUUUUAGAAUGACUUUCAUGAUUUCCUCUCUUUAUCAUCAUAGAUCUCUCUCACAUUUAAUGACUUUGUUUAAUUACUUUCUGUAUUAGCCCAUUUUUACACUGCUAUAAAGAAUACUGAGAUUGGAUAAUUUAUAAACAAAAGAAAUUUAAUUGACUAACAGUUCUGCGUGGUUGGGGAGGCCUCAGGAAACUUACAAUCACGGAAGGAAGUGAAGGGGAAGCAAGGCACGCCUUACAUGGCAGCAGGUGAAAAACAGAGAGCAAAAGCAAGGAAGUGCCACAUUUAAAACCAUCAGUAUAGGUCGAGUGCGGUGGCUCACGCCUGUAAUCCCAGCACUUUGGGAGGCCAAGGAGGGUGGAUCACGAGGUCAAGAGAUCAAGACCAUCCUGGUCAACAUUGUGAAACCCCGUCUCUACUAAAAGCAGAAAAAAAUUAGCUGGGCAACGUGGCACUUGCCUGUAAUCCCAGCUGCUCAGGAGGUUGAGGCAGGAGAAUCGCCUGAACCCAGGAAGUGGAGGUUGCAGUGAGCCAAGAUCGUGCCAUUGCACUCCAGCCUGGGUAACAAGAGUGAAACUCCGUCUCAAAAAAAAAAAACAAAAAAAACAAAAACCAUUAGCUCUCAUGAGAACUCUUACUAUCAUGAGAACAGCAUGGGGAAAACUACCUCCAUGAUGCUUCCACCAGGUCCCUCCUUAAACAUAUGGGGAUUAUAAUUCAAGAUGAAGUUUGGGUAGGGACAUGGAGCCAAACCAUAUUACUUUCUUUAAUGUAAUUUUAUGUAAUUUGUAUACGAAACAACUAUUUGGCAUUCAAG